UACGAAGGGGGCUAGCGUUGCUCGGAAUCACUGGGCGUAAAGGGUGCGUAGGCGGGUUUUUAAGUCAGAGGUGAAAUCCUGGAGCUCAACUCCAGAACUGCCUUUGAUACUGAGAAUCUUGAGUACGGCAGAGGUUGGUGGAACUGCGAGUGUAGAGGUGAAAUUCGUAGAUAUUCGCAAGAACACCGGUGGCGAAGGCGGUUCUCUGGGCCUUACCUGACGCUGAGGAGCGAAAGCGUGGGGAGCGAACAGG
rnacentral:rRNA from 1 species